rnacentral:ncRNA from 1 species
UUUGUGGAGGGUUCGAUUCUGGCUCAGGAUGAACGCUGGCGGCGUGCUUAACACAUGCAAGUCGAACGGGAUCCGGCCAGCUUGCUGGUUGGUGAGAGUGGCGAACGGGUGAGUAAUGCGUGACCGACCUGCCCCAUGCUCCGGAAUAGCUCCUGGAAACGGGUGGUAAUGCCGGAUGGUCCAGCAUGCUGCAUGGCGUGUUGGGAAAGAUUUAUCGGCGUGGGAUGGGGUCGCGUCCUAUCAGCUUGACGGU